GUGCCCGUAACUCAGUGGUAGAGUGUGAGAUUGCAAUGCUUCGGAUGGCGUGCGCAAUAUCUUGAAGCCCCGUGUUCGACCCACGGCGGGCACU